rnacentral:rRNA from 1 species
AGGCUUUGAUCCUGGCUCAGGACGAACGCUGGCGGCGUGCUUAACACAUGCAAGUCGAGCGGGGCAUCAUAUACUUGUAUAGGAUGCCAAGCGGCGAACGGGUGAGUAACGCGUGGACAAUCUGCCCUCAAGACCGGGAUAACACUUUGAAAGAGGUGCUAAUACCGGAUAGUCACAUAAGCCACAUGGCAGAUGUGGGAAAGGCCUUUGGGUCGUUUGAGGAUGAGUCCGCGUUCCAUUAGCUAGUUGGCGGGGUAGAGGCCCACCAAGGCGACGAUGGAUAGCCGGCCUGAGAGGGUGACCGGCCACACUGGGACUGAGACACGGUCCAGACUCCUACGGGAGGCAGCAGUGGGGAAUUUUGCGCAAUGGGGGCAACCCUGACGCAGCGACGCCGCGUGAGUGAAGAAGGCCUUCGGGUUGUAAAGCUCUGUUGAGGGGGAAGAUAGUGACGGUACCCUCUUAAGAAAGCCCCGGCGUAAAA